rnacentral:misc_RNA from 1 species
AGGUAAGCUGAAUGUUCACUUGGUUGCUCAUUCGCAUGACGACGUUGGCUGGUUGAAGACGAUCGAUCAGUACUAUGUUGGUUCAAACAACAGUAUUCAGGGAGCGUGUGUGGAGAAUGUGCUUGAUUCAGUUGUUGAUUCUUUGCUUCGUGAUUCAAACAGGAAGUUUGUAUUUGCUGAAAUGGCAUUUUUCCAGCGAUGGUGGUCACAACAAAAUCCCAAACUCCAACAAAGAGUGAGAAAACUUGUUGAAGAUGGCCAAUUGGAAUUCAUAAAUGGAGGUUGGUG